AAACUAGUGGAGGUGUUGUUAACUCUCUCCCCUCUCACUUCAUGGGUAGUUUCUGUGAAAAUAGAGGAAUUACUUUCUCCAAUAACUCCUCAUAAACCCUUUUAUAAAUAGAGGCACUCAUGCAUUGGAAAAAUAUCACAUUCAUUCCAUUCUUUACCAUCUCAUGAAUAGAAAUACAAAUAGAGAAUUAUAGAAGCAAUAGUGGUUGAAUAAGGAAAGUAUAGUGCCAUAUAAAGAAUAAAGAAAAUUGAGUUUCUAAUCAUCGAGGAACGCAUAAAGGGAAGACGAAGAUGUGAGAACAAAAGCAACCAACAAGACAACGAGAAAGUUCAUAAAGGGAAACACAAAUGAAAUCAGGUAUUCAUUACUCUAUUCUUUUAUCAUAUGUGAAUUUCAUGAUGUUAAUAUCCUAAAUUAAGGGGUUCUUAUA
rnacentral:lncRNA from 1 species